rnacentral:rRNA from 1 species
GAUGAACGCUGGCGGCGUGCCUAAUACAUGCAAGUCGAACGAGGUGCUUUUGUAGCAAUACGAGAGUAUCCUAGUGGCGAACGGGUGAGUAACGCGUUGGUGACCUGCCCCAAAGUGUGGGAUAACAGUUCGAAAGAACUGCUAAUACCGCAUGUGGUCAUCGGAUUCAGAAACCGAUGCCUAAAGGAGUAAUCCGCUUUGGGAGGGACCUGCGUCCCAUCAGCUAGUUGGGGAGGUAACGGCCCACCAAGGCGACGACGGGUAGGGGACCUGAGAGGGUGACCCCCCACAAUGGAACUGAAACACGGUCCAUACACCUACGGGUGGCAGCAGUAGGGAAUAUUGCUCAAUGGGCGAAAGCCUGAAGCAGCAACGCCGCGUGUGCGAUGAAGGCCUUCGGGUCGUAAAGCACUUUUCUGGGAGAUGAGAAAGGACAGUAUCCCAGGAAUAAGUCUCGGCUAACUACGUGCCAGCAGCCGCAGUAAGAC